AUUGAACGCUGGCGGCAGGCCUAACACAUGCAAGUCGAGCGGAUGAAGGGAGCUUGCUCCUGGUUUCGGCGGCGGACGGGUGGGUAAUGCCUAGGAAUCUGCCUGGUAGUGGGGGCUAACGUCCGGACACGGGCGCUAAUACCGCAUACGUCCUUAGGGAGAAAGUGGGGGAUCUUCGGACCUCACGCUAUUAGAUGAGCCUAGGUCGGAUUAGCUAGUUGGUGGGGUAAAGGCCUACCAAGGCGACGAUCCGUAACUGGUCUGAGAGGAUGAUCAGUCACACUGGAACUGAGACACGGUCCAGACUCCUACGGGAGGCAGCAGUGGGGAAUAUUGGACAAUGGGCGAAAGCCUGAUCCAGCCAUGCCGCGUGUGUGAAGAAGGUCUUCGGAUUGUAAAGCACUUUAAUUUGGGAGGAAGGGCAGUAAGUUAAUACCUUGCUGUUUUGACGUUACCAAAAGAAUAAGCACCGGCUAACUUCGUG
rnacentral:rRNA from 1 species